GCUGUAUAAAAUUUGUUGCUGUUAUUAUUAAUAUUAUUAUUUUAUUUUAGCUGUGUGAAGGCUGUAUCAGCUGUGUGAAGGUUGUUUUGUUCUGAAUGAUCUGUGCAUAUGAACGUCUCUGACCCGAUCAUGUCCCUGUAUGCACCAAAACACUGCACUGAAUUUAAAUAGAGCAGAAACGCCGCAGUGACCUUGAAAGGGUUCUUUUUAACUGUGCUUUCGGUGACCUCGGGUUGUUUCGGUGACCUUGAAAGGAUUAUUUUCUUACUGUUUUCUUUAAUGUGGAUAUAUAUAUAUAUUGGCAUAUCUAACCCUAAACUUCAGUACUGUAGCUACAUUCAGUAGUUUAUAUCUACAUUCAGGAGUGAACUACAUACAGUAGUGUAUAGUUACAGUCGGAUUGUACCUGAGACUACAAUUUAUUUAUUUUUCUAAAGCAAAUAGACCAAAUAUUGACUAUGUUUCAUUAAUUAAUGUUUACUGCUCUUUGUAAUAUUGUUUUUAUGUAGAAACAUUUAAUUUCAUGAUUUUGAAGGCAUUUUUUGCUCAACAGCAUUUCUUUGAAUGUGCCUAAGACUUUUUCACAGUACUGUACUUGCGGUAGUUGCAUUCAGUAGUGUACGGCUGCAUUAAGCUGUGUGAAGGUGCAUUCAGUAGUGUACGGCUGCAUUAAGCUGUGUGAAGCUGCAUUCAGUAGUGUACGGCUGCAUUCAGUAGUGUACAGCAGCUUUCAGUAGUGUACAGCUGCAUUCAGUAGUGUACAGCAGCAUUCAGUGGUGUACAGCUGCAUUCAGUAGUGUACAGCUGCAUUCAGUAGUGUACAGCUGCUUUCAGUAGUGUACAGCUGCAUUCAGAAGUGUACAGCUGCAUUCAGAAGUGUACAGCAGCUUUCAGUAGUGUACAGCAGCAUUCAGUAGUGUACAGCAGCAUUCAGUAGUGUACAGCAGCUUUCAGUAGUGUACAGCUGCAUUCAGUAGUGUACAGCAGCUUUCAGUAGUGUACAGC
ensembl:lncRNA